GUGCUCGCAUUGGCAACACAUAUACUAAAAUUGGAAUGAUACAGAGAAGAUUAGAAUGGCCCCUGCGCAAAGAAUGACAUGCAAAUUCAUGAAGCGUUCCAUAUUUUU